ensembl:lncRNA
CUCCCGUUAGCGUUAGCGCCAGUUAGCCAUGCUGCUGUGGGGUUGGUCAGUGUCUUCCGUUAGCGUUAGCACCAUUUAGCCAUGCUGCUGUGGGGUUGGUCAGUGUCUCCCGUUAGCGCCAUUUAGCCAUGAUGUCUGUGGGGUUGGUCAGUGUCUCCCGUUAGCGUUAGCAUUAGCGUAAUUUAGCCAUGAUGUCUGAGGGGUUGGUCAGUGUCUCCCGUUAGCGCCAUUUAGCCAUGAUGUCUGUGGGGUUGGUCAGUGUCUCCCGUUAGCGUUAGCAUCAUUUAGCCAUGCUGCUGUGGGGGUUGGUCAGUGUCUCCCGUUAGCGUUAGCGCCAUUUAGCCAUGAUGUCUGUGGGGUUGGUCAGUGUCUUCCGUUAGCGUUAGCAUCAUUUAGCCAUGAUGUCUGUGGGGUUGGUCAGUGUCUCCCAUUAGCGUUAGCAUAAUUUAGCCAUGAUGUCUGUGGGGUUGGUCAGUGUCUCCCAUUAGCGUUAGCAUUAGCGUAAUUUAGCCAUGCUGCUGUGGGGUUGGUAAGUGUCUCCUGUUAGCGCCAUUAAGCCAUGAUGUCUGAGGGGUUGGUACGAGUGCAGGACAGGAAAGACCAGACUACUCGUUGUGCAGGCUAUCAGAUAGGAUUUUAGCAUUUUAAUUAGGGUUUUAUCUGAUGAGGAUCAGGGUCUAAUCUCUCCCUAUCACCCCACUCUGCCUUUCUCUCUGUCCAUCCUUCUCUCCCUCCCUCCAUCUCUCCUUCCCUCCAUCUCUCCUUCUCUCUCACUGUUUUCUCUCUCUGCAGAGCACCAUGUGGUGAUAAACCUGAGACACGCUGGGGUGGUGAUGGCCUCCAGAGCCACAGAGGGAGCAGCGGGUCGGAACACCGUGUGGAACUCCUCUCCCUUCCUGUUUGAGCUGCCGCGCGGAGACGUGACACAGCUACCGCUGAUCAUGGAGUUUAUUCUCAUAAAGGGUUGCCUGUAUUCAACCAGCAACGUGGUGGGCCGCAUUGUGAUUGGCCAAGAGGCUAAGGAGGAGGGGCAAGCCCACUGGAGAGACAUGUGCAACAGGAGCCAAGUGGAAGUUGCUCGAUGGCAUGUCGUCCAAUCAGAAACACUGUAGGAUGCUUUCUACCAGUCGUCCAAUCAGAAACACUGUAGGAUGCUUUCUACCAGUCAUCCAAUCAGAAGCACUGUGGGAUGCUUACCAUCAAUCAUCCAAUCAAAGACUCAGAAACUGACUGAACAAUAAGUGUGGUGGCAGCGCAAAGUGGAGUACCUGCUGAAGAGUGAGACUCUGCAUGAGACACUGACUGUCUGGGAAGACAAGGAACUGAUGAAAAUAGACAUUUUGCAUAAACAUUUGAAUAGUUUGUAGCCAUGUGUGUGUGUGUGUGUGUGUGUGUGUGUGUGAUAGACUGGAUCUCACAUAUAGAUAUUGACCGGGCAAAUGUAUAUUUGUGUUUUGCUCUAAGGUGUGUCUGCACUUGCAUAGGUGAGUGUGUGUGUGUGGGUGUGUUAGACUGGAUGCACUUGCAUAGGUGAGUGUGUGCGUGCGUAUUAUACUGGAUGUACUUGCAUAGGUGAGUGUGUGCGUUUGUGUAUGUGUGUGUGUAGGUGUGUGUGUGUGUGUCUUAGACUGGAUGCACUUACAUACCGUAUUUGUAUUUCUCUCUCCAGUAGGGAUUUCCUGAUCCUCAGCUUCAGUGGAUCAUGAUGAUUGUGAC